UUGCUCAAGAACGUCUUUUACAUCGAAACAAGAACAAUAGAGCAUGAGAAGAGAUGAGAACAAUUGCCCUCUCCAUGAGCAUCUCCCGAAUGAAGGGCUGGGCCCUUCUGCAGUGAGGUCGCCAUCAUGACAGUCAAAUUUGGUAGUUUGUUUUUUUCUGGCAAGUGACUUCCUCCUUCUGGAAGCUAAUGCAUCUCCACACUCAAGAAGUCAUCCAUGGAGGAGACAUCACUUGAUGUUAGAGAGAAGAGUGACAAGAAGCAGCAAGAAGACAGAACAAAAAGCUUCCAUAAUCAUAGAAAUGUUCGAACAGCCAGCUAACUGCAUUGCACCUCUCAGCCACAGAAAUAGUGCAGGUGACUCUUGUUUUUGACAAAACGUGGGAACCACAGGACCUACAACACUUACAAGCAAAAACUCAACAAGUCUAAUAAUAGUUACAGAAGUGAAAGCCAAUUUGGAUAAAAUAAGCCAUCGACUCAAAUCCCCUGAGACAAGAUUUUCAAAAA